rnacentral:rRNA from 1 species
GAUGAACGCUGGCGGCGUGCUUAACACAUGCAAGUCGAACGAAGCACUUUAUUUGAUUUCCUUCGGGACUGAUUAUUUUGUGACUGAGUGGCGGACGGGUGAGUAACGCGUGGGUAACCUGCCUUGUACAGGGGGAUAACAGAUGGAAACGGCUGCUAAUACCGCAUAAGCGCACGGCAUCGCAUGAUGCAGUGCGAAAAACUCCGGUGGUAUAAGAUGGACCCGCGUGGGAUUAUCUAGUUGGUGAGGUAACGGCCCACCAAGGCGACGAUCCAUAGACGACAUGAGAGGGUGACCGGCCACAUUGGGACUGGGACACGGCACAAACUCCUACGGGAGGCAGCAGUGGGGAAUAUUGCACAAUGGGCGAAGGCCUGAUGCAGCGACGCCGCGUGAGCGAAGAAGUAUUGCGGUAUGUAAAGCUCUAUCAGCAGGGAAGAUAAUGACGGUACCUGACUAAGAAGCACCGGCUAAGUACGUG